ACAAUUUUAGCUAAAAUUGUCUGUCACGUCAUACAGUGCGAAAGGGAGCCGCUCUGCCGCACAAACGUGCGUCUACCGUGU